AAGUCGUAACAAGGUAACCGUAGGUGAACCUGCGGUUGGAUCAUUAACAAAUGACAUUUGCAACAGGGAACAAGGCUUCGGCCCUUUCCUGCGUCUCACGAAAGUGAGUACGGCAAACCUUUUGUGAAUCGUAAACAGUCUCUGGCGGAAGGACGUUUGCAAACAUGUCCAAUUCAUUUUGGAGAUGUGCGCCUACGUCUGUCAGCAGCUGGGAAUCUCCCGGAUGCCGUGGACAAGCCGCCAAACAUUGUAUAAACCAACCUAUAUACUAUAUUUCCAGUCUGACCAUUUUUCAAAAACGUUUUUGUAACAUUGCAAAAUACGAUGAAAAAAACAACUUUUGGCAACGGAUCUCUUGGCUCUC
rnacentral:misc_RNA from 1 species